rnacentral:rRNA from 1 species
UGUCUCUUAAAUAGAGACCUGUAUGAAUGGCAAAACGAAAGCCCAACUGUCUCAUCAAAUUAAUCAGUGAAAUUGAUAUCCCCGUGCAAAAGCGGAGAUAAUUUUAUAAGACGAGAAGACCCUACGGAGCUUAAAACCUAAAUUAAUAUAAUUAAAUAAAUAAUCCAGGGCUUUAGGUUGGGGCGACCACGGGGAAUAAUAGAACCCCCGAGAUAUAUAGUUAAGAAAAACACUUCAAAAUAACACCACAGUUGAUGUAAUUGACCCAAUAAUUGAUCAACGAACCAAGUUACCCUAGGGAUAACAGCGCAAUCCUCUCAUAGAGUCCAUAUCGACGAGCGGGUUUACGACCUCGAUGUUGGAUCAAGACUACCAAAUGGNGCANNAGCUAUUAAAGGUUNGUUNGUU